rnacentral:lncRNA from 1 species
GAAAAAGCAGCAAGAAGGAGACAAGAUACUGGGGCAGUGGCUGCAGCAAUGGAGGAAAAGAGAUGAACACUAGGAGAUCUUCAGGAAGAAGAAUGGGCCUUGGUAACCCUGGAUUGGAAUGGGGUAAAGAGGACCCAAAGUUUCUUCCUUUGCCAGUGGGAUGGAGGCUUGGGGUUGCCCUGUUUGCUCUGUUCAUGGGAAAUGGUGUUCCUGUAGGACAUCCAGUGAGGGAGUGUGAAGGCUGCUGGGUAUAUAGUUCUGGGUUUAGGAGUUGGGUCACAGGUAAAGAUUCAUGAAUGGACAGAUAGUGGGACUGAAGGACACUUACUAGAAAAGUGUAACCCCAAGAAUAAAGAGGAAAACCAGGGGUUUGGGGGUCAGGGAAUACUGUGGUAAGAAAGCCAGCUGACAGAUCAGUUAAGACUGAGGUGUAUUCAGUUAAUAACAUGGAGAUUCUGGGUGGAGGUACCAUGGAAAGGAGUGGGAAGUGAAGCAGUGAUGCACACCUUUGCUGGGGGUUUUCUACUCCAAGCUCUACCACAUAGGCUGAGGUCUGGAGACCCUGAGUUCCAGGAAGAGAUAGUUGAAAGCUGGCAGCAGAGUUAGGCAAGGACUGGGUUCUCAGGCUCCAGGGUGCCACUCUGCUCACCUUGAUCUCAGGUCAAAGCCUUUGCUGAGUGACCUCUUCCAGGAGCUUUACCAAUCCCUGCUAACCCAGUCUGGUCAGCAGUGGCACAGACACAAGACAUUUCUAUGUGCAGGAGGCUCUGCGGGGGAGCAGGAGACUCAAAACUGAAUCUGGGACUGGACUCAGGCUUAUAAGCUCCUGGAAGACAGGGCUGCAGUGCUUGCCUGGGAAGUUAAUGCAGACAGGGUUGACCUGCUGUCUUGUAUCCCAAUGGGGACAAAGGAGAGGUGGGAUGGGGGAAGCACAGAGGAUUCCUGGACUGAAUUCCAAAAGAUUUGGGACAGUACUUUCUGCCUGUAUGAUCCUCCUGGGCCUAAGAAGCAGCGUCCCCAUCUGGGCCUAAGUAAUGAGAACUGUUGUAAGAAUUGGAGAAGCAGUUUUGUGUGUGCAAACCGUCCUCACUCGGC